GAUGGACGCUGGCGGCGUGCCUAAUACAUGCAAGUCGAGCGAACAGACGAGGAGCUUGCUCCUCUGACGUUAGCGGCGGACGGGUGAGUAACACGUGGAUAACCUACCUAUAAGACUGGGAUAACUUCGGGAAACCGGAGCUAAUACCGGAUAAUAUAUUGAACCGCAUGGUUCAAUAGUGAAAGACGGUUUUGCUGUCACUUAUAGAUGGAUCCGCGCCGCAUUAGCUAGUUGGUAAGGUAACGGCCUACCAAGGCAACGAUGCGUAGCCGACCUGAGAGGGUGAUCGGCCACACUGGAACUGAGACACGGUCCAGACUCCUACGGGAGGCAGCAGUAGGGAAUCUUCCGCAAUGGGCGAAAGCCUGACGGAGCAACGCCGCGUGAGUGAUGAAGGUCUUCGGAUCGUAAAACUCUGUUAUUAGGGAAGAACAAAUGUGUAAGUAACUAUGCACGUCUUGACGGUACCUAAUCAGAAAGCCACGGCUAACUACGUG
rnacentral:rRNA from 1 species